rnacentral:misc_RNA from 1 species
GAUGAAGAACGCAGCAAAAUGCGAUAAGUAAUGUGAAUUGCAGAAUUCAGUGAAUCAUCGAAUCUUUGAACGCACAUUGCGCCCGCUAGUAUUCUGGCGGGCAUGCCUGUUCGAGCGUCAUUUCAACCAUCAAGCCCUGCUUGUGUUGGGGUCCUGCGGCUGCCCGCAGGCCCUGAAAACCAGUGGCGGGCUCGCUAGUCACACCGAGCGCAGUAGCACAUCUCGCUCAGGGCGUGCGGCGGGUUCUUGCCGUAAAACACCCCCUUUUUACCAAGGUUGACCUCGGAUCAGGUAGGAAUACCCGCUGAACUUAAGCAUAUCAAUAAGCGGAGGA